rnacentral:rRNA from 1 species
GAUGAACGCUGGCGGCGUGCCUAAUACAUGCAAGUCGAGCGAACAGACGAGGAGCUUGCUCCUCUAACGUUAGCGGCGGACGGGUGAGUAACACGUGGAUAACCUACCUAUAAGACUGGGAUAACUUCGGGAAACCGGAGCUAAUACCGGAUAAUAUAUUGAACCGCAUGGUUCAAUAGUGAAAGACGGUUUUGCUGUCACUUAUAGAUGGAUCCGCGCCGCAUUAGCUAGUUGGUAAGGUAACAGCUUACCAAGGCAACGAUGCGUAGCCGACCUGAGUGGGUGAUCGGCCACACUGGAACUGAGACACGGUCCAGACUCCUACGGGAGGCAGCAGUAGGGAAUCUUCCGCAAUGGGCGAAAGCCUGACGGAGCAACGCCGCGUGAGUGAUGAAGGUCUUCGGAUCGUAAAACUCUGUUAUUAGGGAAGAACAAAUGUGUAAGUAACUAUGCACGUCUUGACGGUACCUAAUCAGAAAGCCACGGCUAACUACGUG